rnacentral:lncRNA from 1 species
ACGUAUACUCAGCCAGUCAGAGUCAACCACAGCUAAAGAAAUUUAUCCACAUAAACAAUUUCCAGUAAUGGUCUCAGCUCGUACGAGGCUCCUGUUGUAAAUUGACAACAAGCUGUUCUUUCCAGAAGGAGGAGUGCAGAAGAAAAUGAAAAGAAAACGUCAUCAUGGUCAGCAGAGGCGGCGACAGAGGCAGCGGCAGCAGCAGCGGGAGCAGGAACACCAACUGCAGCAGCAGCGUCAGCAGGAGCAGCAGCAGCAACGCCAGCAGGAACAUCAGCAGCAGCAGCAGCUGCAGCUGCAGCUGCAGCAGCAGUGCCAGCAGCAUCAGCAGCAGUGCCAGCAGGCACAGCUGCAGCAGUGCCAACAGGCACAGCAGCAACAGCAGCAGCGUCAGCAGGAGCAGCAGCAGCAGCAGCAGCAGCAGCAGCAGCAGCAACCACAAAGAAGAAGGAGAAAAAACAGGAGGAGCAGGAGGAGCAGGAAGAGCAAGAAGAGCAAGAGGACAAGGAGGACCAGGAACACCAGGAGGAGGAGAAGGAGAAAUAAUGAGUGAUUGUGUCUACAUUUAUGGAAAGAGUUUGCAUCUUUGAAGAAAUGGGUACUCAAAGAAAUCCUCAUGUAGAGUCACACUGUGCUGUCAUCUGAGACUUCAAGUUCAUUACUGAAUCCAUGCUUCCUCUUCGCAUCGUGAGAAGAUCACUACAGAAGCAUAUCACCACACUUAGCUAGUGGUAUUGUAAAAUCUCUUCAUCAAUGACUUUCAUUUUUGCUUGCUUGUUUAUAAAAAUUUGAAUGAAACAUUUAUAUUUUCUCAUUUUCUACAAUUUUCCUUAAAUCACCUUUACAUCUAACCAUAUUUUUUAUUACUUGCCAUAUUUUUAAUUACAAUAAGGUAUUUAAACACUGAAAUAUAUUUUGUAAUAUUUUAUUUUUCAUUAUUUACAACCAUAUUUUAAAUCAAAUAUUCUAUUAUAUUAUACCACUCCCCAAAGUUCUUCAGAUCCACUUCCAUUUUCCAUCCAGCUUUAAUCUCUUUGUCAAAUCAUACAAAAUUCUAAUGGAAAACCAAUCUCUCAAAA